AUCUAUGGCUAUACUACCCUAAAUGGGCCAGAUCUCGUCUGAUCUCAGAAGCUAAGCAGGGUUUGGCUUGGUUACGACCUGGAGAGAGAUUAUUAUUCAGUAUUAGUCAUCUCUGACA
rnacentral:rRNA from 1 species